GAUGAACGCUGGCGGCGUGCCUAAUACAUGCAAGUCGAGCGAACGGACGAGAAGCUUGCUUCUCUGAUGUUAGCGGCGGACGGGUGAGUAACACGUGGAUAACCUACCUAUAAGACUGGGAUAACUUCGGGAAACCGGCGCUAAUACCGGAUAAUAUUUUGCACCGCAUGGUUCAAAAGUGAAAGACGGUCUUGCUGUCACUUAUAGAUGGAUCCGGGCUGCAUUAGCUAGUUGGUAAGGUAACGGCUUACCAAGGCAACGAUGCAUAGCCGACCUGAGAGGGGGAUCGGCCACACGGGAACUGAGACACGGUCCAGACUCCUACGGGAGGCAGCAGUAGGGAAUCUUCCGCAAUGGGCGAAAGCCUGACGGAGCAACGCCGCGUGAGUGAUGAAGGUCUUCGGAUCGUAAAACUCUGUUAUUAGGGAAGAACAUAUGUGUAAGUAACUGUGCACAUCGUGACGGUACCUAAUCAGAAAGCCACGGCUAACUACGUG
rnacentral:rRNA from 1 species